UGGCGGACGGGUGAGUAAUGUCCGGGAAACUGCCCGAUGGAGGGGGAUAACUACUGGAAACGGUAGCUAAUACCGCAUAACGUCGCAAGACCAAAGAGGGGGACCUUCGGGCCUCUUGCCAUCGGAUGUGCCCAGAUGGGAUUAGCUAGUAGGUGGGGUAACGGCUCACCUAGGCGACGAUCCCUAGCUGGUCUGAGAGGAUGACCAGCCACACUGGAACUGAGACACGGUCCAG
rnacentral:rRNA from 1 species